CUGCUCACCAUCACACCAUAACAACAACACUGCUCACCAUCACACCAUGAGAACAUCACUGCUCACCAUCACACCAUAACAACAACACUGCUCACUAUCACACCAUGAGAACAUCACUGCUCACCAUCACACCAUAACAACAUCACUGCUCACUAUCACACCAUGACAACAUCACUGCUCACCAUCACACCAUAACAACAUCACUGCUCACCAUCACACCAUAACAACAUCACUGCUCACUAUCACACCAUGAGAACAUCACUGCUCACCAUCACACCAUAACAACAACACUGCUCACUAUCACACCAUGAGAACAUCACUGCUCACUAUCACACCAUAACAACAUCACUGCUCACCAUCACACCAUAACAACAUCACUGCUCACCAUCACACCAUAACAACAUCACUGCUCACCAUCACACCAUAACAACAACACUGCUCACUAUCACACCAUAACAACAUCACUGCUCAC